rnacentral:rRNA from 1 species
AGGAUGAACGCUGGCGGCGUGCCUAACACAUGCAAGUCGAACGUCCUGUCUCGCAAGAGGCAGGGAGUGGCGGACGGGUGAGUACCACGUGGGUCAUCUACCGUGAGGUGAGGAAUACCGGCGAGAAAUCGCCGACAAGACCGCAUAGGCUCGAUGCAAGUCGAGCAAAGCUCUCUCGAGAGAGGGAGCGCCACACGAGGAGCCUGCGCCCGAUUAGCUAGCUGGUGGAGUAAUGGUUCACCAGGGCGACGAUCGGUAGCUGGUCUGAGAGGACGAUCAGCCACACUGGGAUUGAGAACGGCCCAGACUCCUACGGGGGCAGCAGUGAGGAAUUUCGUCAAUGGGGGCAACCCUGAACGAGCAACGCCGCGUGCAGGAAGAAGGUUUUCGGAUCGUAAACUGCUUUUCUCGGGGAAGAGAACGGACGGUACCCGAGGAAUCGAGCCCCGGCUAACUACGCGCCAGCAGCCGCGGU